UGAUGAGCGCCAAACCCCCUUUUCCUUUAUUCUCCGCUCUUUUUCUUCUCUCUCACACAAUGCAUCUUAUUUCCCCUUCCUUCGGCCGUAAGAUUCAAACCCUAAAAAUCAGAUGAUGCUUCCCUUCAACGAUUCCAUUGAGAAAACCCUAAAAUCUUCCAUUGCAUUGCAUCGCAUCUAUUACUCUGAUUCAAGUUUAUUGAUCGUUGAUCUCUUAAACCAAAUCAAUCUUAAAGUAUAUUUGUUUUUAAUUCAUCGCUUCCAUCUAUUUUCAGAAUAUUCAGAAGAUCUGUGUAGCCAUGUCUUAUGCUUACCUCUUCAAGUACAUUAUCAUCAUUGGAGAUACUGGUUUGUUACUGGCAAUCUAAAAUUGGACACAGUUAGUAUUUUAGAUAUAACCAGUUUCUUUACCCGAUCUAUUUAUCAUCGGCUUCACAUUCACAAACCCUAAUGUUUAUCGCCGUUUAGUCGCAACCAAGUCUCAAUUUUAGGAUUUGUGGGUCUGUGAAUCGGGGCUGGAGAACAAGAAUCAAAGAAAUUGGAGCAAUUUAUGAUUCUGCAAUACUCCCAAAAAAUGAAUGGAAAUUGAAAGGAACAGAGCUUCCAUUAACAACACUUUCUAUUCCAUUCUUAAUUUUAAAAGUUGGACAAUGAAGUGUUUCAAGUCCACUACGUGAUCGGGCCCACUCCCAGCUGAUGUUACGGUUUUGAACCAUUAGUCGAACCACCUAUUACAUUUGGUAAGAGAUGAGAUAGAGCAACUCAUGGAUGAUGAUGGAGAUAUGGCUGAAAUGUAUUUGGUUGAGAAAAAGGCAUAUGGAGUCAUUAUUCUGUGGUGGAGAUCAAUCUUUGGCAGGACACAAAUCAAUGAAUGGGAUUCAGUCUAUUUUUGCUUUGAUUUCUCCUGUUUCUUCACCUCCAACUGGUCGAAGUUUUGACAGAAAUUUGAGCCUUGCAAGGAGCAUGAAUGAGAGCACAAGUAGUUUAGAGAGUGCGAUAGUGCUACUGAAAACAUUGGUAUUGCAACUCCGUACACAUUGAAGGAAAAUGCGCUCAUUUUGGUGAGAAUUGUUAACUUUCAUACCCUUCUCUUGGAAUCUUGCAUUGGUUAUAUUUCGUCACCUGACUUAAUAAUAAGUUGUUGGCUGGUGAUGUAAUUAUUUCCGGUCUUCAGGUUGAUGCUUCAAGGUAAUAGAGUACGUUAUACUUGGCCUCCUUAAUUGUUUCACAUAUUUUCUAGAAGGUGGCAAAAAACUCAACCUAAUAAGAAAGAGGCCAAAUAGCUGGAGAGUUCCCCAAUGUGUAGAGUUAACCGUUUUGACCCAUUUCACACCCGUACAGUUAAUUUAAGUGUUCUGACACAUUUCGCACCCUUACAGUAGAGUUAACCGUUUUGGCUCAUUUUGCACCCGUACAGGAGAGUUAACCAUUUUGACCCAUUACUCAACUCGCAUGCAUGUCCAUUUUGGCGACAAUAAUUUUAUGUGUUUAAUUGGAAGCUUAAUCCUCGAUUGGAAGCUUUAGCCACAGGUGUGAACAUGAACUUGCUAUAACAUGAUUAAAUUGUCGCGAGAUAACUCUGCAAUAAUCUUUAAAAUUUGUGUGUAGAUUUAUAUGCUUUGACAAGAUAUUUUGAUGCUAAAGAUCGAACAAAUGAAACAAAUAACGACAAAUCUAAGCUUAGGUAAGACCAACUUUAGGACUAACUUCCUGCUAAUGAACCUGGUGCCUCAAAUUUGGGGAUUUAUGCCUGAAAAUAGUAGAUUAUGGAUAUUACUGGGUUUGCCAAAAUUAGUUGCUACUAUUAGUUUUUUAAUAUCAUUAUAUUUUCUUUAACCUUGGAUCUACACCUAUAAUCAUAGUAGAUGACUGUAGAUACAUUGAUUUAUUGCAUAAACCAAAAUUGAUACUUUCAUGUUGGUACACAAAUGAGUUCAGAGUAGACACUUUGAUAAAGUAAUUUGACAUUUAUUUGGAAAGGUUUUGGGGUUUACUACAAAAUGUUUGCUCUAUGUUGAUCAAUGGUUAUUUGUUUUGAAGAUGAAUUUUGUAUAUGGCUGAUUAGACGCAAAAUAGAAAUAAAGAAGCAAAUAAUAGAAAAACUAGUGCACUUGAAUCACUUUAUCAAGGUGGAGUGGCUGAAUGACAAGAAUGAUAACACUGAGGAAGAAGAUUGAGUGAUCAUAUUAUGUACGUAUAUUAUACACAAUUGUUUUGGUGUGCUUAUUGUCUUCAUACAUCAAGACAUUAGUUUGUAAGUUUUAUUUGAAGGAUCCUAUUAUUUGCUAAAUUAAGUAUAUUGUGUUA